rnacentral:lncRNA from 1 species
GUGGUGACCUGGGAAUCAAUGUGUGAGGUGGUGCUAUGUAGCAGGAACCCCUCUUGCUUUGCAAAUAGUUUUUUGUUUGUUUUCCUUUUUGCCCAAUAGAGCCCUGCUCUACUGACCCUUCAAUGUGCCCGUGUGCCUAAAUAUUCCUGGUCGUGUGAAAAGAACCCAGGUAUUAGCUGAACUAAGGAGCACAAUUCUGCAACAUUUUGGCACCCAAACACGGGGCUUGAGAAAUGAAUGCAAUUGGAGAAACUGGUUGUUUUACCAGGCGUUGAUUGGAAAUGUGUGCUUCCCUUUAAGCAGUCAAGCUCAACUUGCAGAACUGAUGGGAACCCCUUGGGAAAACUGGCCUCAAAUGUUUGUCUACACAGUCCACAUACAGGGUUCUUAACCUGCGAUGAGGGAAACUUCCCAGGGCUUGUCUGGGUAUGCCCACAGUGGACUGGAGCCCAAAAUGCACACUGGAGGAAGUGGAUGGAGCCACGUGGAUGUCAUGCCUUAUGCAGGGGAGGAGCCUGCUCUCUUCAGCUCCUGUGGUAAUGUGGGAAUCGAUCUGUGAGCAUAUUUAACUAUCCGGCUAUUUUGGAGAUUGAAAAAAGAAGACCUGAUUUAUCAUGUGCAAUAUCUCACACAUCUGUCAUUUCUAUUCUACCGCAAUUCGAUGGAGUCUUGUUCUGUGGUCCAGGCUAGAGGGCAGUGGCAUGAUCUCGGCUCACUACAAGCUCUGCCUCCCGGGUUCACGCCAUUCUCCUGCCUCAGCCUCCUGAGUAGCUGGGACUACAGGCGCCCGCCACCACGCCUGGCUAAUUUUUUGUAUAUUUACUAGAGAUGGCUAGUGUUAGCCAAGAUGGUCUCGAUCUCCUGACCUCGUGAUCUGCCCACCUCAGCCUGCCAAAGUGCUGGGAUUACUGGCGUGAGCCACCGUGCCUGGCCAGCAUCCUCUAAUUAUUAUUCAUAGUUUGUGAAUUUAGGCCUACGUGAAUAAUAAUAUAAUAUUUACUAUGAUGUUACUAUCUACCAACCUUAUUUUUCUUUUCUAUAAAAUAGGAGCCAAAAUAAUAUUUAUGUCAUACCUUAUGAAGUUAAAAUAAAAUAUAACGAAUGAGGGGCUUAACAA